rfam:Clostridiales bacterium S5-A11 contig043, whole genome shotgun sequence.
AUGAAAGGGCAGGGGUGCUAUUGCUGAGAUGGCCUAGGCCAAACCCAUUGAACCUGUUCAGGUAAUGCUGACGUAGGAAACCAAGGACUUCUGCUG